rnacentral:rRNA from 1 species
UACAGAGGGUGCGAGCGUUAAUCGGAAUUACUGGGCGUAAAGCGUGCGUAGACGGUUAUUUAAGUCGGGUGUGAAAGCCCCGGGCUCAACCUGGGAAUUGCAUUCGAGACUGAAUAGCUAGGGUACGGUAGAGGGAAGCGGAAUUUCCGGUGUAGCGGUGAAAUGCGUAGAUAUCGGAAGGAACACCGGUGGCGAAGGCGGCUUUCUGGACGAUAACUGACGCUGAGACGCGAAAGCGUGGGGAGCAAACAGG